UCAAUAAAAUGUUAACUCUCUGAUAAGUCUUAUGCCAUGAAUAACAAACAUUUUCAGUCAGCAGUUUGCAAACAAGACAUGGACUAAUAUUUGUUUGUGUAAAGCAUUCAGCACAGAAGCAUAAAAGAUAUUUUGUAAAAAUCAGGAUUAGUUCACACAUUGUUCCUAUGCAGGCGAAAAAGUUGGAAACAUCUUCUCUUUCAUGCACAAUAACUAAACCAGCUCUUAUGAACCAGUGUCACUCUGGAGUUCUCAAUGUGCUGGGUGUGGACAGAAAGACAUCAACAGCUCAUAUGUGGGGGAGGAAAAUUACCAUUCCGAGUCAGACUGAAUAGCAUCCAUCAUUGACAAGUCUGUCUAUGAUGCCGUGGAAUCUAGAAGGUGAGGACAUCAUGCUACAAUCUUGAAUUUCUAAAUGAGUAGACCAAGCUUCAUUGCACAUUGUUUGGUGUAUUUUCAAUUCUACUUUUCCUCAUGAGCAAAGCAUAGAAAAUUUGAAGAUGGCAGAUCUUCACACUCAGACAUUAAUUGCUGUUUUCAAUUGCUUCUUGCUCUCAAUAAUAGUCUUGUAAACCACCAUGUAAACAAAAAAUUAAAUUCUGGACAUUUUAUUGGGGAAAAAAAUGGAGCAAAUCAACAUUACAAAUUCAACUGCAGUAUUUUUGAUCUUGAGAAAUGUUUUAAAGAACU